ACAGAGUUCAUGCCCUUACGGGUAGAUCUCCCACCCUAUGUUAUUAUUACUUUGUUGCUUUGGCGGGCCGUCAGGCUCACGCCCGGCUACCGGCCCCGGCUGGUAAGCGCCCGCCAGAGGACCCAAAACCCUGAUUAUUAGUGUCGUCUGAGUACUAUAUAAUAGUUAAAACUUUCAACAACGGAUCUCUUGGUUCUGGCAUCGAUGAAGAACGCAGCGAAAUGCGAUAAGUAAUGUGAAUUGCAGAAUUCAGUGAAUCAUCGAAUCUUUGAACGCACAUUGCGCCCCUUGGUAUUCCGAGGGGCAUGCCUGUUCGAGCGUCAUUACAACCCUCAAGCCUGGCUUGGUAUUGGGCUUCGCCACUCACCUGGCGGGCCUUAAAAUCAGUGGCGGUGCCGUCGAGGCCCUGAGCGCAGUAAAUAUCCUCGCUAUAGGGACCCGGCGGUUGCUGGCCAUCAACCCCCAACUUUCUAAGUUUGACCUCGGAUCAGGUAGGGAUACCCGCUGAACUUAA
rnacentral:rRNA from 1 species